GGGGAUUUGGCUCAGUGGUAGAGCGCUUGCCUAGCAAACGCAAGGCCCUGGGUUCGAUCCCCAGCUCCA
rnacentral:tRNA from 1 species